rnacentral:rRNA from 1 species
GACGAACGCUGGCGGCGUGCUUAACACAUGCAAGUCGAACGGAAAGGCCCUUCGGGGUACUCGAGUGGCGAACGGGUGAGUAACACGUGGGUGAUCUGCCCUGCACUUUGGGAUAAGCCUGGGAAACUGGGUCUAAUACCGGAUAGGACCACGGCAUUCAUGUGCUGUGGUGGAAAGCUUUUGCGGUGUGGGAUGGGCCCGCGGCCUAUCAGCUUGUUGGUGGGGUAAUGGCCUACCAAGGCGACGACGGGUAGCCGGCCUGAGAGGGUGACCGGCCACACUGGGACUGAGAUACGGCCCAGACUCCUACGGGAGGCAGCAGUGGGGAAUAUUGCACAAUGGGCGCAAGCCUGAUGCAGCGACGCCGCGUGAGGGAUGACGGCCUUCGGGUUGUAAACCUCUUUCGCCUGGGACGAAGCGCAAGUGACGGUACCUGGAGAAGAAGGACCGGCCAACUACGUG